UUGACGUUAGCGGCGGACGGGUGAGUAACACGUGGGUAACCUACCUAUAAGACUGGGAUAACUUCGGGAAACCGGAGCUAAUACCGGAUAAUAUUUCGAACCGCAUGGUUCGAUAGUGAAAGGUGGUUUUGCUAUCACUUAUAGAUGGACCCGCGCCGUAUUAGCUAGUUGGUAAGGUAACGGCUUACCAAGGCGACGAUACGUAGCCGACCUGAGAGGGUGAUCGGCCACACUGGAACUGAGACACGGUCCAGACUCCUACGGGAGGCAGCAGUC
rnacentral:rRNA from 1 species